rnacentral:lncRNA from 1 species
ACCCUCUUCAGUGCAAACUGGGAGCUAGAAGGUUCACACCAACUGUGCCUUUUCUUUUCUGGAGUGUGCAAGGGUCCACUGAGAGGGCAAUGAACAGCCUGGGAAAAAAAACUUAUCCCCUUUCCAAAGGAUCGGCAAAGAGGAAGAGUUGAUGAUAAUGGUCCUGGGAAGUAAGGCAGUUGUACAUGGAUCACUUCCCAGGACACAAAGGCUGUAUGCACACAUUGCACCCAGGAAAUGAAGUUAAUCAACACCUGCUCACAAGGACAGUGAAAAAUGCCUCCUCACAAUGAUGGGGAUAGAUCUUCCAAGAUCUUUCUGAGAAACAAAGAAGCUGAACCUGUACCUACCUCUUGUUCAACCACGUCCAUGGAACACAGCAGUAGGAAGCUAAUUUACCAUAAGGAAACAAAACAGCACACGUCCUGUUCCAGAAC